rnacentral:rRNA from 1 species
CAGUCGCCACGGUAAUACGAAGGGUGCAAGCGUUAAUCGGAAUUACUGGGCGUAAAGCGUGCGUAGGCGGUAAGUUAAGUCUGCUGUGAAAUCCCCGGGCUCAACCUGGGAAUGGCAGUGGAUACUGGCUCGCUAGAGUGUGUCAGAGGAUGGUGGAAUUCCCGGUGUAGCGGUGAAAUGCGUAGAGAUCGGGAGGAACAUCAGUGGCGAAGGCGGCCAUCUGGGGCAACACCGACGCUGAGGCACGAAAGCGUGGGGAGCAAACAGGAUUAGAUACCCGAGUAGUCCCUGUCUCUUAUAC